UAGCAACUGCGGAGACAACACACACACACCCUCUGUGACCUUUCACGGUUUCCACCCCAACAUUAGACAUAAAUGGGGUCAUUCAUGAUUUUUUAAAAAUGAAUGAAAGAUAACUGUUCAUUAUCCGUGUUCUCUAGGAAGUGAGCCGCAUCUGUCAGAACCUUUUUGGAGGAAUUUCCCUUGGCAUUACUGAUGAAUUAGAGGCCAUGAGCGAGUCAGCUGUAGGGAAAUUAUUUUUGCUCACAUUGUUAUAACCUACUUCUGUGGCGCCCACUUACGCAGAGACCAUGAGAGGGGGAGUUUCCUGAUUAGACAGGAAGUUGUUUUUCCGAUACCACCCGAUUUACAAAGCCAGUAAAGAACAUAAGCAUGUUAGUUAAAGGUUACAACCAACUGUGUGCUAAAAUUAACUUCUGCAAGUAGUUCAGAAUUAAGAACAUACGCAUUCAUUGCAUUGGCUUUAUAUGAGAAGAUUAUUUCUAAUGCAGUUUUUGAAGGUUAUUUUAUUAUACAAAGGUGUUUUCUAAUAUCUAGAACCGCAUCACUUUGAGGUCUCAUUCAUUAGUUAACAUUAGAUAACAUGAACAAACAAGCAGAAACAUAUGUAUUACAGCAUUUAUUAUUCUUUGUUUGUUUUGUGUUCAUGGUGCAUUAACUUAUGUUAACAUCUACAACUUUUGAAUUAAAAACGUGCUAAUGAAUGUUCAAAUUAACAUUAAUUAAGACGAAUAAAUGCUGCUAAAGUAUUGUUCAGUGUUAGUUCAUGUCAACUAAUGUAGUUUAAUAAGGGAAAUGUGCAGGCAGCCGGUUGUUAUCGCAAAACUGGAAAUGAAACGUGAAAUAUUUUAUUAGAUCAUUUUAACUGAAUUGCAUGCCUUCCGCGAGGAAAAGCUGUUUACUUUUUAUUUUGAAGGUCAGAAAGGAACAGGCAAUAUGUUAUAAAAAGACAUUUAUAUUUAAUUUGUCAAAAAACCUGUCAAAACGAUUUGCUGCAUCCGGGUUACAGUGUUUUAUUCGUUUUGAGAGGUUGUUAUCUGGGAAUAAAGAACCUGCAAAUGUCGCCACUGGCCAAUCAGAAUCAAGCAUCCCAACGAGCUGUGUAAUGUAACAGAUAAAACCUUAUUGUAAAGUCUUACCAUUAUAUCACACAUAAAAAUAAAUGAAUACUUAUAAUACAUCCUAUACACAACAAACAAAGUACGAUGUAAGGCCCAUCUGGGUCUGCUAGUUAGGUUUAGGUUCAUUUUGUCCACUUUUCGUAAUUAAAAUUGUAUUAUCUAAUGAUACAUCCGCACAACACUCUAAAUAUAUAGCCAACCUGUCAAUUACCGCAAUGUCAAUCUUUUACAGUUUGAAUAUGCAAAGAUCGAUUUCCAGUCUAUCGUGUAUCCCUUCUUUUUUAUUUCAGACACAAGGAAGUGCUGCCUGCAGAACUGCAGGUGUAUUCAUUUUCUGCUUAUUCAUGAUAAGGAAGUGGACAGUGAGCCACACAUGUGCUCUUACUGUGGAAAGCCCCGAAAACAAUGCUGUGCCUUUUCACAAUCACACCUCAUGCCCUCUGGGCAUACUCUUCCUUGGUCAGCUGAAUGGAUUCCAGCGGUGCUUUGCAACCUUUGCACUCUCCACUAAAACACAAGAUAUUGCCAGCUAGAACAUAUAAGAUAUUUUGAAGAAUGAUGGCAAGCUCGACAUCGGCCUCCAUUAAUUUCCACUGUAUGGACACAAACCACCGAGACUUUUCUUAAAGUGUUCUACAGGAGAAAGAGUCAUAUACAGGUUUCA